GAGGGUACAGCUCAGGGAUAGAGUGUAUGCCUAGCAUGCACAAGGUCCUUGGUUCAAUCCCCAGUACCUCCA
rnacentral:tRNA from 1 species